GAUUGACCUCGGAUCAGGUUGGGA
rnacentral:rRNA from 1 species